rnacentral:rRNA from 1 species
GACGUAGGUGGCAAGCGUUAUUCGGAAUUAUUGGGCGUAAAGCGUGCGUAGGUGGUUUCUUAAGUCUGAUGUGAAAGCCCAUGGCUCAACCAUGGAGGGUCAUUGGAAACUGGGGAACUUGAGUACGAAAGAGGAGAGUGGAAUUCCACGUGUAGCGGUGAAAUGCGUAGAGAUGUGGAGGAACACCAGUGGCGAAGGCGACUCUCUGGUUCGAUACUGACACUGAGGCACGAAAGCGUGGGGAGCAAACAGG